GACGAACGCUGGCGGCGUGCUUAACACAUGCAAGUCGAACGGAAAGGCCCUGCUUUUGUGGGGUGCUCGAGUGGCGAACGGGUGAGUAACACGUGAGUAACCUGCCCUUGACUUUGGGAUAACUUCAGGAAACUGGGGCUAAUACCGGAUAGGAGCUCCUGCUGCAUGGUGGGGGUUGGAAAGUUUCGGCGGUUGGGGAUGGACUCGCGGCUUAUCAGCUUGUUGGUGGGGUAGUGGCUUACCAAGGCUUUGACGGGUAGCCGGCCUGAGAGGGUGACCGGCCACAUUGGGACUGAGAUACGGCCCAGACUCCUACGGGAGGCAGCAGUGGGGAAUAUUGCACAAUGGGCGGAAGCCUGAUGCAGCAACGCCGCGUGCGGGAUGACGGCCUUCGGGUUGUAAACCGCUUUCGCCUGUGACGAAGCGUGAGUGACGGUAAUGGGUAAAGAAGCACCGGCUAACUACGUGCCAGCAGCCGCGGUGAUACGUAGGGUGCGAGCGUUGUCCGGAUUUAUUGGGCGUAAAGGGCUCGUAGGUGGUUGAUCGCGUCGGAAGUGUAAUCUUGGGGCUUAACCCUGAGCGUGCUUUCGAUACGGGUUGACUUGAGGAAGGUAGGGGAGAAUGGAAUUCCUGGUGGAGCGGUGGAAUGCGCAGAUAUCAGGAGGAACACCAGUGGCGAAGGCGGUUCUCUGGGCCUUUCCUGACGCUGAGGAGCGAAAGCGUGGGGAGCGAACAGGCUUAGAUACCCUGGUAGUCCACGCUGUAAACGGUGGGUACUAGGUGUGGGGUCCAUUCCACGGGUUCCGUGCCGUAGCUAACGCUUUAAGUACCCCGCCUGGGGAGUACGGCCGCAAGGCUAAAACCCAAAGGAAUUGACGGGGCCCCGCACAAGCGGCGGAGCAUGCGGAUUAAUUCGAUGCAACGCGUAGAACCUUACCUGGGUUUGACAUGGAUCGGGAGUGCUCAGAGAUGGGUGUGCCUCUUUUGGGGUCGGUUCACAGGUGGUGCAUGGCUGUCGUCAGCUCGUGUCGUGAGAUGUUGGGUUAAGUCCCGCAACGAGCGCAACCCUUGUUCACUGUUGCCAGCACGUUAUGGUGGGGACUCAGUGGAGACCGCCGGGGUCAACUCGGAGGAAGGUGGGGAUGACGUCAAGUCAUCAUGCCCCUUAUGUCCAGGGCUUCACGCAUGCUACAAUGGCUGGUACAGAGAGUGGCGAGUCUGUGAGGGUGAGCGAAUCUCGGAAAGCCGGUCUCAGUUCGGAUUGGGGUCUGCAACUCGACCUCAUGAAGUCGGAGUCGCUAGUAAUCGCAGAUCAGCAACGCUGCGGUGAAUACGUUCCCGGG
rnacentral:rRNA from 1 species